rnacentral:rRNA from 1 species
UACGUAGGGCGCAAGCGUUGUCCGGAAUUAUUGGGCGUAAAGAGCUCGUAGGCGGCUUGUCACGUCGAUUGUGAAAGCCCGAGGCUUAACCUCGGGUCUGCAGUCGAUACGGGCUAGCUAGAGUGUGGUAGGGGAGAUCGGAAUUCCUGGUGUAGCGGUGAAAUGCGCAGAUAUCUGGAGGAACACCGGUGGCGAAGGCGGCAUCCUGGACCAAUACUGACGCUGAGGAGCGAAAGCCAGGGGAGCAAAGCGGG